UCAAGUGAUUCUCCUGCCUCAGCCUCCCGAGUAGCUGGGACUGCAGGCAUGCACCACCAUGCCCAGCUAAUUUUUGUAUAUUUAGUAGAGAAGGGGUUUCACCAUGUUGGCCAGGAUGGUCUCAAUCUCUUGACCUCGUGAUCCGCCCGCCUCAGCCUCCCAAGGUGCUGCUGGGAUUACAGGCAUGAGCCACCCCGCCCGGCCCACGCCCAUUUCUAAAGAUGAAAUAGUUCAAUGGGACAGAAUUAAGGAAUUUCUCUUUUAUAAAACACCCAAUUAGUGACAGUGAUGGAAUCAGGACCAAAAUCUGUGUUUAGGUAAGAUACAGGUUUGGCUGCUGUGAAAAAGACCUAAAAUACCAUGCUAGAAGAUGGUCGACAUUUUAGAUCUUAUAUAAAAGUCAGCUGGUUUAAGGUACCAGCAAUAUUUCAGGAACCCACAAUUCUAUCUUCUGGCUCCACAAUUCUUAAGGUUUGUCCUUGUUUGGAUGUCCAAGAUGGCAACAGUAAAAAGCGAUGGCGUGUCCCUUCCUUUGAGAUAACAGUUCGCAGGUCUGGUGGCACAUUAGAAUCAUUGCAGAGACUUUUUAAGAAAUAUUGAUCCCCAGUCCCUACCUGUGAGAGAUUCUCACACAGUUGAUCUGACAGAAGGUCAAGAUGUUGAUUUUUUUUGGCAUUAUAAUACAUCCACAAAUUAAUAUUUAUUUAUUUAUUUAUCUUUAAACUUUUAUUUUAGGUUCAGGGCUACAUGUGCAGGUUUGUUAUAUAGGUAAACUUGCGUCAUGGAGGUUUGAUGUAGAGAUUAUUUCAUUACCUAGGUACUAAGCCUAGUACCCAAUACCCAAUAGUUAUUUUUUUCUUUUUCUCUCCCUCCUAUUUGUUUUUAAACAAAUGGUUUUUUUCUUUUUUUUUUUGAGACAGAAUGUCACUCUGUCCCCCAGGCUGGAGUGCAGUGGUGCCAUCUUGGCUCACUGCAAGCUCCGCCUCCCGGGUUCCCGCCAUUCUCCUGCCUCAGCCUCCUGAGUAGCCGGACUACAGGCGCCGGCCACCCCACCGCGCUAAUUUUUUUGUAUUUUUUAGUAGAGACGGGGUUUUGUGUCCGGAAUUGGUGGGUUCUUGGUCUCACUGACUUCAAGAAUGAAGCCGCGGACCCUCGCAGUGAGUGCUACAGCUUUUAAGGUGGCGCCUUUGGAGUUUGUUCCUUCUGAUGUUCGGAUGUGUUCGGAGUUUCUUCCUUCUGGUGGGUUCGUGAUCUCGCUGGCUCAGGAGUGAAGCUGCAGACCUUCACGGGGAGUGUUACAGCUCUUAAGGUGGCACAUCUGGAGUUUGUUCCUUCUGACGUUCAGAUGUGUUCGGAGUUUCUUCCUUCUGGUGGGUUCGUGAUCUCGCUGGCUCAGGAGUGAAGCUGCAGACCUUCAGGGGGAGUGUUACAGCUCUUAAGGUGGCGCGUCUGGAGUUUCUUCCUUCUGGUGGGUUCGUGAUCUCGCUGGCUCAGGAGUGAAGCUGCAGACCUUCACGGUGAGUGUUACAGCUCUUAAGGUGGCGCGUCUGGAGUUUGUUCCUUCUGAUGUUCAGAUGUGUUCGGAGUUUCUUCCUUCUGGUGGGUUCGUGAUCUCGCUGGCUCAGGAGUGAAGCUGCAGACCUUCAGGGUGAGGGUUACAGCUCUUAAGGCAGAGCGUCUGGAGUUGUUCCUUCCUCCCGGUGGGCUGGCUGGGCUCAGGAGUGAAGCUGCAGAUCUUUGCGGUGAGUGUUACAGCUCAUAAAAGCAGCGUGGACCCAAAGACUGAGCAGUAGCAAGAUUUAUUGCAAAGAGCGAAAGAACAAAGCUUCCACAGUGUGGAAGGGGACCCAGCGGGUUACCACUGCUGGCUCGGGCAGCCUGCUUUUAUUCUCUUAUCUGGUCCCACCCACAUCCUGCUGAUUGGUAGAGCCCAGUGGCCUGUUUUGACAGGGCGCAGAUUGGUGCCUUAACAAUCCCUGAGCUAGAUACAAAGGCU
rnacentral:lncRNA from 1 species